AUUGAACGCUGGCGGCAGGCUUAACACAUGCAAGUCGAGCGGGGUGAUGGUGCUUGCACUAUCACUUAGCGGCGGACGGGUGAGUAAUGCUUAGGAAUCUGCCUAUUAGUGGGGGACAACAUCUCGAAAGGGAUGCUAAUACCGCAUACGUCCUACGGGAGAAAGCAGGGGAUCACUUGUGACCUUGCGCUAAUAGAUGAGCCUAAGUCGGAUUAGCUAGUUGGUGGGGUAAAGGCCGACCAAGGCGACGAUCUGUAGCGGGUCUGAGAGGAUGAUCCGCCACCCUGGGACUGAGACACGGCCCAGACUCCUACGGGAGGCAGCAGUGGGGAAUAUUGGACAAUGGGGGGAACCCUGAUCCAGCCAUGCCGCGUGUGUGAAGAAGGCCUUAUGGUUGUAAAGCACUUUAAGCGAGGAGGAGGCUCUUUUGGUUAAUACCCAAGAUGAGUGGACGUUACUCGCAGAAUAAGCACCGGCUAACUCUGUGCCAGCAGCCGCCGCUG
rnacentral:rRNA from 1 species